rnacentral:lncRNA from 1 species
CAAUCAAUCACCGGUGUGUAACACUAAUUUACAGCCCAUUAAGUGAACGAGUUUACACCAGCACCAAUAUACCACUUAUUUCAAUUCAGGAGACAGAAGGAUUCCAAACUCCAAGCCGCGCCUGAAGUGCAAAUUAAAAUUUGGGAGUAUUAAACAAUUGAAGGAUUUCCCAAUAGUCACCUGCCAUUCCUAAAGAGUUCGUGGUUUCCAAAUUAUUAACAGUUAGGAUAAUUUUGUUGGAUGGAUCUUUAUGAAUCUGUGGAAAACUAGAGACACCCUGUCUUAGUCAACUCAGGCUGCCAUACCAAACUACCACAGACUGUGGUUUAAACAACAGAAAUUUAUUCCUCACAGCUCCAGAGGCGGGGAAGUCCAAGAUCAAGGUGCUGGCCGAUCUGGUUCCCAGUGAAAGCUCUUGUCCUGGCUUGCAGACAGACUCCUCACUGUGUCCUCACAUGGCCUUUCCUCUGUGUUCCAGCUGAAAGACCUCUCUCUCUCAUAAGGCCACUAAUCACAUCAGGAGGAACCCACUCUCAUGACCUAACUUAACCCUAAUUACUUCCCACAGGUCCCAUCUCCAAAUACCAUCACAUUAGGGGUUAGAGGUUAUGGACCGUAGGGAUUCACAUUCAGUCCACAGCAAACUGACAAAUUUACAAAAUGAUUAAAAAAUUUGAAAAGUCAGUAAACUAGCAUGCCAUAUCUAACUCUUUUCCUUUCCCUGAGUUAAUCUGACUCCAAGUAACUAAGAUCAUCAAUCCUAGAAAUCUUUCUUCACACUCCAAUACAACCCCCAGUGCAGGUGGAACCCGCAGCCUAAUACCCCCACUUUCCCCUCCCUGUGCCACCUUAGCACCAAAGCAAAAGUAAACAAAAAUCAUUUUCAGCUCCUAUCAUAUUAGGAGAAUUUUUAAGAAAUGAAUAAUUUCCUCCCUCUUACCAGGUUGAUUCUCUGCAAUUCAAACAAAGGCUGAAGGAUUUUUUUAGAUCCUGCUAGGCUUGCAAAUUUGCCAAAAAAAAAAGAAGUGUAGGUGGAGCAGUUUGUAGUCAUUCUUGGCCCCUUUCCAGUACUGCUACCUGCUUCGACUGCAUAAGCAACCAUGUUUUCACUAGUUGUGGGUGUGUAGCUGCAGGAGCUGCAGCAAAGAAUUCCUGUAUCCUGAACAAAUUCUGAAAACUGAACCUCAUUUCCCCCAAUUUACCCAAAUGAUUUUGUUAUUGAUUCUGAAAAUAUUAGAAAGGACUCAAAAUAAUCUGCCAUUCAAAAACUGGUAGGGAAAAAUCCAAGAAUUUGGUAGCAUUCUAGUCUACCAGCAAUGCUGUGGAGAAACAUUUGGUACAUGGAGGGCAAUAUGGCAGUAGCUAUCAAAAUUAAAAAUUCAUACAUGCCCUUUGGCAGAGCAAUUCCACUCUUGGAAGUGAGAUGAGGCGUACUUAAAUAUAGAAGAAAAGAAGAUGUAUGUACAAAGACAUUCAUCCAAGCACUAAAUAGAAUACAAAAGAUUAGAAACUCAAUGUCCCUCAAUUGGAUACUGAUUGGUUAAAUAAUCUGCAGGGGUAAGAAAAAUGAUACUUUAUAUGGAAAAGCCCAAGAUGUCAAGUACAAAGUGCAGAAGAGUGUAUAUGGCAUCGUUUCAUAAAAAUGGGGAAAAAGAAGAACAUUUAUUCUUUCUUACAUGUAUAGGCAUGAAAAGAACUCUGGAAAAAUACAAAAGAAAAUAAGAGUAGAGGUUACCUUGGGGGUGGGAACUGCGUGGAUGGAAGACAGUAGAUGACGUUUGAAAAGUUUUUUGCACCAGUGGAUAGACUAUCUACUCAAAUAAUUAAAAAAAAUCUGGCUGGAAGCCACAACCAACCAACAAUUAUUAAAUGUCCACUGCCUUAAAAUAGAGUAAGAAAAUAAGGUUGCCCAAAUGCCACCUUAUCUCUGGGGUAUAAAAUAUAAGAUUGAGCGAAGUGGCCGUGCCUAAUUAAUUCCUGGAAAUCAAAGUUCUUGGUGCCUCUGGGGAACUCUGAGAUCAGUGACUUUGCCAAAGAAUUUCACUUGCUUCUGGCUGUCUUCUCUUGAUCUCAGAGAAGGGAGCAGACAAAGACAGAAGACAUCAUACUCCUGCAACCAAUUUAAAAUUCUUCAGUGUUCUGCCUGCCAAAAAUGGACACAUUAUUCAUCUGUAAAUCUGAAAACAUGCAGGAGGAAACCAGUAAUUGUGUUGUGGUGGAACAUUUUUCUUUUACUUUUCAAAACUUCAUGUAAAAAGC